rnacentral:piRNA from 1 species
UGAAUCAUGCAUGCAUCAAGCUUCUAGGUC